rnacentral:rRNA from 1 species
ACGAGGGUGACAGGUGGUGCAUGGUUGUCGUCAGCUCGUGUCGUGAGAUGUUGGGUUAAGUCCCGCAACGAGCGCAACCCUCGACCUUAGUUGCCAGCAUUCAGUUGGGCACUCUAAGGUGACUGCGGCUAAAAGUCGGAGGAAGGUGGGGAUGACGUCAAAUCAUCAUGCCCCUUAUGACCUGGGCUACACACGUGCUACAAGUGGGCGGUACAACGAGUUGCGAGUCGGUGACGGCGAGCUAAUCUCUUAAAGCCAAUCUCAGUUCGGAUUGUAGGCUGCAACUCGCCUACAUGAAGUCGGAAUCGCUAGUAAUCGCGGAUCAGCACGCCGCGGUGAAUACGUUCCCGGGCCUU